ensembl:lncRNA
GGCGAAUCCGCUAUCCUGUAACAGAAAAUUAGGCAAAUACAGUGCAACAAAAAUUUACAUCAGAUACCCAAACGUUGUGGAGAGAUUAAGAAACGAAAGAAACCCAAAUGUUUUGGGGUUGUUUUUUUCUUAUUAAUGGCUUUGCAAUGGCUAAAAAACAAACCUGGCCACAUUCAGCUUUCAUGGUGUAACCAAAACCUCCUGAAUGAUGAUCCUCCCAUCCUGUGUGGCCAGAUUCAGUGUUGUCUACUUUUCUUCUUUUUGAGAAAUCCUACUGAGCUUUUUAAAUUAUCAUCAUUAUCCAGUGUCUUAUGGCCUCGGUGAUUGAAAUGGUGAACAGUGUAAGGUCUUGUUUAUAAAGUUUCAUGCAUUCCAAAUCCUAAAUCCACUAAACACUUCUUAGACACAUUGCAAGAGGGGCUAUUUUUUUUUUUUUUUAAACACAAACAUCUGCAUUCAAAAAACAGGGCCUUCUUCCAUUUUGGAAUGUAGAGAUUAAAAACUGAGACAACAGUGGAGUUGCCAUCCAAUUCAUCAUUAUUAUGUCUUUUGUUUCAAAUUUGUUUGUCAGCAUCCACAUGAAACAGGAGGUCUUUAGUACCAGAAAAACCUAUGAAGCGCUUCAGUGUUCUUUUAUUUUUUUGGGAGGUGAGAGGAGUUUGUCUGGGCACAGGCUUUUGGAACCAAGGAUUCUAGCAUGCCACCAUGGCCACGCCCCCUGGGAUAUGUUACGCCCCCAGGCGCACACAGCCCACAGACUAGGGGGUAGCAUCUUCAGCUGCUUCUUGGGGUGUCACGAGGUGUCCCAGGCUGUCCCAGGAACGUCAUACAGAGAUGCUGGAUAGAGUAUUCCUUAAUAGAAAGCCCAUUUUAUUCCUUAUUAUACAGGCUGUUUUCCAAAGGAUAUCUGUUUGACCAGUGCCAACCUGGUGGUGAAAACCCAGACAGUGUGACUGAGGAAACCAGGCUCUCUGUCCAGCUAGACUUUCUCUGGAGGUUUCCCCAGGGCUUUUGACCUCAGUGCUGACUGUGGUCAUUGGCUGUACCUGGGGCAAGGUGUAUACUGGGCCUGGUUCUUUGGCUGGGGGCAUUGCAGUCUUGGGGCCUCAAAAAGAUCUGGAGAAUGAAAAAACAAAGUCAAGCUACUGGUAUCCUGGUAUAUAUGUAAGUCAGUAUAGCCUUAAUUGACAUGCACAUUUGAACAACAGAUGGAUAUUAUAUGAUUCAACACUAGAUGGCAGAAAAGCCAAAGAAAAGCUGGACUAAGAAUGUGUAGUGAGAUAAAUCAGGUUAUGUAAUUAUAAUUCAUCUCCAUUCCAUAACACCCCGUUUAUCACUUUUUACACUUUCCACAAAAUAGUAACAGUGAUAAUCAUUAAAUAUCACGGUUAUAAGGAAAUGGCAGCCUGUCACCGAACAAAAAAAGCAGAACAUUCACUUUCUCAUGUAUUGCUUUAAUACAAAAGAUGGUAAACUCUAAUUGAGGCUUUACUUAUUCUGUUAGCAGCAUAUCUGUAUAUGAGAAUACUAUGAUGACAGGGAGAGACAGACUGGGACUAUGGUCACAUGACGAGUGGUUAGUCAUCAUGGAAUAACGACCUUGCACAGUUG